UGUUACAUGUUAUAUUUAUAUCUCCAAAUAAGGCGAGUAACAAUGACAUGUUUGUUACAGAGAAGACAAUUCAAUCGUAUAUUUGAGUUAGGAUAAGAAUACAUCUAUGGCAGUGAAGAUAAGAUAGUCUAUAUUUUGGAACUUAGCCUAUGUGUUACCCCAAAGACAUGUCAGAGUUACUGGAAAGACAUUUCAGAUCAAGUUGAUGGAAGACAAA